GCCCCUUUAGCUCAGCUGGUAGAGCAGCGGACUCUUAAUCCGUAGGUCGAGUGUUCGAAUCACUCAGGGGGCACCC
rnacentral:tRNA from 1 species